UACAGAGGUCUCAAGCGUUGUUCGGAUUCAUUGGGCGUAAAGGGUGCGUAGGUGGCGUCGUAAGUGGGGUGUGAAAUCCCGGGGCUUAACCCCGGGACGUCGCAUUCCAUACUGCGGUGCUUGAGGACUGGAGAGGAGACUGGAAUUUACGGUGUAGCAGUGAAAUGCGUAGAGAUCGUAAGGAAGACCAGUGGCGAAGGCGGGGUCUCUGGACAGUUCCUGACACUGAGGCACGAAGGCCAGGGGAGCAAACGGG
rnacentral:rRNA from 1 species